UUCAUGAACUUACCUUCAACAUGUGAACAGAACCAGAACCACACACAUGUAGAAAUCCACAGACAAGAAGAAGCAGAAACACAACAGAACUCUGCUGCAGACAUCGUGACCAAACCAUGACUUAGGGAGGAAGACGAAGCUGCUGCUAUAAAUUAAAGUUAGAAAAAGUUAGAAAAAUGCCGUCUCUUUCCGUUAAAACAGCCUAUCAGCAAGGAUCGCAUCGGAGGUAGGGGCUGUGGCCGUUGAUAGGAGAGAUAUGCAGAUUGUAACACGUAACAGCCAAUGACAAUUCUGCUGCAACACAGGUAGCCAAUCACAACGCAGAUUUACGCAAUCGCGAAAUUACAGUAUCCUAGCACCUAACCCUUCCCCUUCAUUCUCUAUGGUAGUUUCAGAUGUAAUACAGUCUUUCACCACUAGCAAGGUUUUUUUCCACACCGUCUUAGUAGUGAGGAAUUUACAGGAAGAGAAACAACAACAAUCUUGCGGCCAGAGUUCAUCUGAUCGCUGUUAAAACACAAGAGCACAACAAGUUAAAGUAUGAUGUGAAGGUUCAAGCAGCCACAUGGGGGCGCUAGAGACCUGCUACUGUGACAACCUGUGGACUUCAUGCCUGAGAGCUCCUUCAUCUGCCCACUGGAUGUUCAGCUCCUCAGUUUCCUCCAAACAGCAGGUUGAAGUUGACGGUUGGGAUCCGUCUGACUUUGCUGCAGUCGUCUCCUGGAUUUCAGGAGCUUUGUUUCUGUUCUGCUCAAAUCCCAGCAGAGGUCCUGCUGCUGGUUCCAGAAAACCAACUGGAAAUGAAAGCUGAAGGUUUUUCCUGGACGGACUCUGGAAUGAUGGAAGUGGAGACACUUUUCUGGU